AAUGGAUUAUAUUUUUAGCCCAGAGGAGAUUAUAUUUAUAAUUCAAAACCUGUUAAUUCAAAUCCUGUGUAGUAUUGGCUAUGUCUCAUCUCUUGUUUUCUUGACAUAUGUGAUUUCAUUCAUUUUUCGCAAUGGGAGAAAAAAUAGUGGCAUUUGGUCAUUUUUCUUCUUAAUUGUGGUCAUCUUCUCGAUAGUUGCUACUGAUCUAAAUGAAUAUGGAUUUCUAGGGCUAUUUUUUGGCACCAUGUUAAUACCUCCCUUCACAUUGAUUGGCUCUCUAUUCAUUUUUUCUGAGGUAAGUAGUUCCACUUCUGUCUGAGGGUCAUGAAAUGUGUGGUCAUUUGAGAAAGCCAUGAAUAUUGCAAAAAUAUAGAUAGAGUCCUCAGCUGUGCAAAGUUUAAAAGUCUCUGUCUUUGGAAAGUCAGUUCUCUUGCCACGCAUGGAUAAGGGGCAUGUUCUGAUUCAGUAGGAAGCCAGCUUUGGUUUAUGACAAGUCAAAGGCAACUCCAGGAGAGUGGAAGUUUAGUUCUCAUGAUAACUCUCACUGCUGGGAACCCUACUGGGAGGCCAAAGAGAUGCCCCUUUUUUGUUAAGUUUUGGAUAUGUUAGGUUUGAGAAAUGUCAAGUAGCCAGUUAGAUACAUGAGUCAGGAAUUCAAUGUGUCAGGGUGUGUGGAGAUGGGGGUUAAAGCUAGAUAUUUGAGAUUGAUCAGUUUAUAAAUGGUAUGAAAAGCCAUGCGACAAUAAUAUGACCUACGCGGUGAGUAGAGAUAGAAAUAAAAAGAAGGCCAAUGACAUGACCUUAAACUCCAAAAUUUAGAGAUUGGAAAGCAAAUACAUGAUCUUGAACUCCAAAACUUAGAGUUGGUGAAGAGGAGGAGCCAGCGAAUCCAUUUGAGAUGGAGCCAGGGAGAUAAGAGAAC
rnacentral:lncRNA from 1 species